rnacentral:rRNA from 1 species
GACAGAGGGGGCAAGCGUUGCGCGGAAUUACUGGGCGUAAAGGGCGCGUAGGCGGGAUGGCAAGUCGGUCGUGAAAUCCUUCGGCUCAACCGAAGAACGUCGAUCGAUACUGCUGUUCUUGAGGGUUGCAGAGGAGACUGGAAUUCCCGGUGUAGCGGUGAAAUGUGUAGAGAUCGGGAGGAAGGCCGGUGGCGAAGGCGGCGCUCUGGAACGUUUCUGACGCUGAGGCUCGAAAGCGUGGGGAGCAAACAGG